rnacentral:rRNA from 1 species
AGAACGAACGCUGGCGGCAUGCCUAACACAUGCAAGUCGAACGCCUGUAGCAAUACAGGAGUGGCGCACGGGUGAGUAACGCGUGGGAACCUACCCUGGAGUGGGGGAUAACCGAGAGAAAUUUCGGCUAAUACCGCAUACGACCUGAGGGUGAAAGAUUUAUCGCUCUAGGAGGGGCCCGCGUCGGAUUAGCUAGUUGGUGGGGUAACGGCCUACCAAGGCAACGAUCCGUAGCUGGUCUGAGAGGAUGAUCAGCCACACUGGGACUGAGACACGGCCCAGACUCCUACGGGAGGCAGCAGUGGGGAAUAUUGGACAAUGGGGGCAACCCUGAUCCAGCAAUGCCGCGUGAGUGAUGAAGGCCUUAGGGUUGUAAAGCUCUUUCGGCGGGACGAUGAUGACGGUACCCGCAGAAGAAGCCCCGGCUAACUUCGCGCCAGCAGCCGC